GUGUGCCCUUUCCCUUUUCCUGUCCUUUCAAUAAACUCAUUCCUGUUACUCAGAGUGACAUGUCUGAAAUCUUUAUGACAUGAUCACAAGAAUCAGGGUUUAAAGGGUGAGUUUUCACGCUGUCUCAGUUUCUUGAAAGUCCUCAACUCUGUAACAGUAAGACAACAACAUGAUCAACAGCAUUUUAUUUAUUUAUUCAUUAAUUAGCUCUAAUUAGUUAUACAUGACAGUAGGAAGCUCUUCGAUUCAUUGUAUACAAAUGGAGCAGAAUUUUGCAUUUCUCUGGUUGUAUAUGAAGUAGAGUCACACCAUUUGUACAGUCAUACAUGUACCUUGGAAAAUGAUGUCCAUCUCAUUCCAGCAUCUUUCCUACCCCCUUGUCCCCUCCCCGCUCCUCUUUGCCCCAUCCAAAGUUCCUGCACUCAUCCCAUGCCCUUCCCCAUUAAGGAUUAGCAUCCACUUAUCCAAAAAAGCAUUUGGCCCCUGUUUUUUUGGGAUUGGUUUAUUUCGCUUAGCAUGAUAUUCUCCAACUUCAUCCAUUUACCUGCAAAUGCCAUAAUUUUAUUCUCUUUUAAUGCUAAGUAAUAUUCCAUUAUGUAUAAAUGCCACAUUUUUUUAUCCAUUCAUCUAUUGAAGGGCAUCUAGGUUGGUUCCACAGUUUAGCUAUUGUGAAUUGUGCUGCUAUAAAUAUUGAUGUCACUGUAGUAUGCUGAUUUUAAGUCCUUUGGGUACAAACCUAGGAGUGGGAUAGCUCAGUAAAAAUGGUGGUUCCAUUCCAAGUUUUCUAGGAAUCUCCAUACUACUUUCAGAUUGGUUGCACCAAUUUGCAGUCCCACCAGCAAUGUGUGCCUUUUCUCCUAUAUCCUCACCAACAUUUAUUGUUGCUUGUAUUCUUGAUAACAACAGCAUUAUAUUUAACUGGCAGAUUUUAAAGCUUUAGAGUUACAGACUAAAAGCAAUUUUAGAACAAAUGAAGAUUUGAAUAAAUCUUAACUCUUGUAGGACUUAAUCAGUAGAAAACAAAUUCUCUCUC
rnacentral:lncRNA from 1 species